UGGGAGGUGGAGCUUGCAGUGAGCCU
rnacentral:piRNA from 1 species